AAGGUAGCUUGCUACUGGACCUAGCGGCGGACGGGUGAGUAAUGCUUAGGAAUCUGCCUAUUAGUGGGGGACAACAUUCCGAAAGGAAUGCUAAUACCGCAUACGCCCUACGGGGGAAAGCAGGGGAUCUUCGGACCUUGCGCUAAUAGAUGAGCCUAAGUCGGAUUAGCUAGUUGGUGGGGUAAAGACCUACCAAGGCGACGAUCUGUAGCGGGUCUGAGAGGAUGAUCCGCCACACUGGGACUGAGACACGGCCCAGACUCCUACGGGAGGCAGCAGUGGGGAAUAUUGGACAAUGGGCGGAAGCCUGAUCCAGCCAUGCCGCGUGUGUGAAGAAGGCCUUUUGGUUGUAAAGCACUUUAAGCGAGGAGGAGGCUCCUUUAGUUAAUACCUAAAGUGAGUGGACGUUACUCGCAGAAUAAGCACCGGCUAACUCUGUGCCAGCAGCCGCGGUAAUACAGAGGGUGCGAGCGUUAAUCGGAUUUACUGGGCGUAAAGCGUGCGUAGGCGGCUUUUUAAGUCGGAUGUGAAAUCCCUGAGCUUAACUUAGGAAUUGCAUUCGAUACUGGAAAGCUAGAGUAUGGGAGAGGAUGGUAGAAUUCCAGGUGUAGCGGUGAAAUGCGUAGAGAUCUGGAGGAAUACCGAUGGCGAAGGCAGCCAUCUGGCCUAAUACUGACGCUGAGGUACGAAAGCAUGGGGAGCAAACAGGAUUAGAUACCCUGGUAGUCCAUGCCGUAAACGAUGUCUACUAGCCGUUGGGGCCUUUGAGGCUUUAGUGGCGCAGCU
rnacentral:rRNA from 1 species